GCCGCAUCGGUUAGAUUGGGAUACUCAUCAAAAAAUUUCUGAAAACCGAGAAAGCUUCAUUCUCCAAUGGCGGGCCACGCCUUCGGGUAGCAUUAUGCCGGUGGAUUACAAAGGAGGUGGGCACUCAAAUCUUAUUAUACUCGGAGUUUCAUCACAUCAUCGGUGCGGUUCUUA
rnacentral:sRNA from 1 species